UAAAGUAUGACUCAAAGUGAAUUUAAUUUAUAUAAUAUAACAUAUAAAAUAGUUUUACGCGAAAUUAGAGUCAGUAUUUGUUUGCCGAUAACAGAAUAUAGUAUAUUAACGAAUAUUAAUAAUGACUUAUUUUCAUAUUUUUAUUCAAAAUAUUCAUUUUCAGUAGAGUCAGUGCUUCUCUCAAGAUAAUUCAUCAGGCGAUUAUUCAUCAUGCGAUGAGGAUAUUGGAGAUUCGUGUUCGUGCAUCCUUUGUUCAUCAAGGAAGAAGAUCGUCCCCCCCCUCCGCAUCGCCAUUUUUAAUUUCGUUAAUCGAAAAUAUAACGCAGUCCGCCAUUUUGUCGUGACAAUUAGACGCUUCUUUUCGCAACAGGCAAUUGAGAAACCUCAAGGCAGCAAAAACGUAUUACAAUAUGGAUACAAUAAUGGUUUGAUAUAGUUCCUUACCAAUAGUUCUUUUACGGAGAAAUGGUAAUGUAUUUUAUAUUGAAAAUAAAUAUAUUUUUAUUUUUUUCCCUCUUUUUGGAUGGAUUGCUUUUAUUGUCUAUUUGUUAAGUAAUUCAUAACAUAUCAAGAUAUCAAUAUUUAUGAAUACUGAUAUAAAAAUAUAAAGGAUAUUGAACAAUUUUUA